CGGGUCGAGGGGCGCUGCAGUCGUCAUGCCUCCUGCGCUGAUCCGGCCGGAUGAUUUCCCGGCCGGGAAGGCGGCGGGGUGACGAUCAGGCUCGGCCUAUGCUUCCCAUCUGUGAAACCGCGCUCGCUUUCA
rfam:Acidithiobacillus sp. GGI-221 contig_1017, whole genome shotgun sequence.